AUUCUCGCGUCUCUUGUCGUACACGUGCAGUGUGUUCUCACAUUGUUGUCUACAAGUUUAUCAAAAUUUAUUUAGGUAAUAUAAACUGUAACGACUUUGUACAAGACAAUCACACCAAUCACACUCUUCGCUAAAUUACGUUAUAAGAUAAAUCAGUUUUAAAAAGCUGUAACAGAAAUACGCUCAAUAUGAAUGAUUCCGAUAGUGACAGUUCCGACAGCAGCAACGAUUUCGCCGGUAUCACACCGAAGGACGAACUGACAGCGAAUUUCUUCUCAAUAAAGCCAGUAACGAAGCCUAACCUAGUAAACACAUUUAAAGAUGAGAGCAGUGACGAUGAAGAUUUCGCGACUGUGUCUGAGAACAAUGACAUCGAACUGUUUUCCGAAGUGGUCAAGAAUCUCGAAGCCUCACAGAAGACUGUCAAUGAUGAGAAUCCUCAGCAAAACUUCUCCAAAGAUGAUAAAACGCUGGCCGUCAAAGAAGUUAAGACACCGAAAAAGAAGAAUAUAUCCGACGAAAUAAACGCUAUUUUGCUUCAAGGGGAAAGCGGGGCACAUGCGUGCCAUGAGGAUGACGAAGACACGGACGACGAGGAGGAGAAAGAGGAUGUUAAACGUCCUGAGGACUAUGCUAUACCUAAGGAAGGUGUAAAAAUAACAUUACCAGGCACAAGUAUGAUUUUCAAAAAAAAAACGGUCAACAAGAAGGAGUCGGAUCUGGCUGCGCUUUUGCGAAAGAAAUUGAAAACUAAUCAGAUUAUUAUAGAGAAAGCAGCUAGACUUUGUUGGUUGACAUAUGGAUUUCACUUGAAUCAUCUUGCGAACGAUCCUGAGAUAAUGGCAACUACUCUGUCUCUUAUCUCAACAAAAAAUUAUCCAAAAGAUAGCUUUAGUUUGGAAUAUUUGACAAAAUUUACAAAAUGGUUUAGAAAUAUAUUUACAAUAGAAUCUAGUGAUGAUGAAGUCAUUAUAAAUAAGGAAACAUUAUUGAAAAAAAUUGUGGAGAAAAAAAUUUACAAUUACAGAGAAUUAGUAAUACUGUAUGUGGCAAUACUGAGAAGUAUUGGUUUACAUUGUCGUUUGAUAGUAUCUCUUAAUCCACCACUUGUAAAAACUUAUAAUGAAUUACUGCCUAAAAAAAACACAACGAAAAAAGAAGAUAAAGUUAAAGAAGAAACAAAAGAAACGAAGAAAGAAGAUAAAGUUAAAGAAGAAACAAAAGAAACAAAAACGAAGAAAACAUCCUCUAAGAAAGGUAAAAAUGUGAUUUCAAAGAAAGGUAUCAAAAAUAAGAGCGCAAUUCAGAAUGACGAAACUGCGCGAAGAAACGCUAAUGAAGAGGCAAAGAGAAAGGCAGCAGAGAUUCUCCGUUCCAAGUAUUCAUAUGAUAAGAAAAACCAUGACAAGUUGAAUAACAGUAUAUCCACACUAAAUAAUGCCUCUACAUCCAAAAAUACAGAGGCAGCUUCUACAAGUCCAAAAAAAGUAGAGUCUGGGCCAUCCCCAAGGCGCUUAAGAUCUCAUAAAGCAUCUACUUCCACCAAACAGAACACUGCCGAAAUUAUUUCAGAAAAUCAACCUAAAACGAGAAAUUCUAAGAGACGGUCACGAAGUAGUAGUUCGAGUUCUGAAGAAGAAGAAAAAGUACAAUCUAAUAAAUCGAAAAGAAAAUACAGUAAUAAAACAGUUAUCAAGUCUGAAAAAAAGAAUGAAGAAAAUAACCAAGUGUCGACAGAUGACGAAGAAACUGAUGACAAAUUGAAAAAACGACGAGAUGUAUGGGCAGAAGUAUAUGUGGAAUCUAAAGCAAGUUGGAUAUGUGUAAAUGUUUUAGAUGGAAACGUAGAUUGUGUGACUGAAAUAUAUAAAAAGGCAAGUAAACCAGUAUUAUAUGUGAUAGCUUAUAAUUCAGAAGGAUUAGUAAGGGACGUCACAAGACGCUACUGUCCACAGUGGAUUUCUGUCACACGUAAGCAGCGUAUUGAUGAGAAAUGGUGGAUUGAGACUUUAAGUUAUUGGCAAGAAAGGGAGACGGCUAUGUCUAAACAGGAAGAUGAAUUACUAUUACAAAAGGAACUGGAGCAGCCGUUACCUAAAACCGUUAGCGAAUGCAAAGGGCAUCCGUUAUAUGUUCUCGUCAGGCACCUACUUAAAUACGAAGCCCUAUACCCACCAGAUUGUGUACCAUUAGGACAUUUGAAAACGGGCGAAGCUAUUUACUCGCGGUAUUGCGUAUAUACGCUGCGCUCGCGAGAGACUUGGUUAAAGAAAGCUCGGGUAGUUAAACCAAAGCAAGAACCUUACAAAAUAGUUAAAGCUCUUCCCAAGUAUGACAAGCUUUCAGGUAUGAGACUUAAAGACUCGGCAUUGGAACUAUUCGGAGAAUGGCAAACGAUGGAUUACAUUCCCCCAGAGGCUAAAGAUGGUAAGGUACCUCGAAAUGAAUAUGGAAAUGUGGAUUUGUUUAAAAAAUGUAUGCUUCCCAAAGGCACAGUGCAUAUAAACCUGGAAGUGCGAAAAUACCUGGACUGAAACUGUCGCUCCGGUCUCGAUAUUUGCAUCUCAAUAUUGUAUAAUCAAGAAUAUCACGAGUCAACGGCGUUGCUUGCACUUGUUUCCAGCCAGUAAAAGUUUGGAACAGGAUAAAACGAUCAAUUAUAAGGUUUAAGUAAGACGUGUACUUGGAACUUCACGAGCUUCAGCAACAUUACACAAUAUGAGAAAGAAGCAGACGUUCGCCUUCGUAUGAUGAAAGUUUUCCAUUUUCUCAGACGAACGUCAACAAUCGAUCAUCCGAGCGAGAUAUAUGAUUUUCGCCUCGCCUGGCGUAAACCGUGUAGAGUUGAUCGAUCAUUAAGCUCACCUCUCCUUCGUUCCGGUGCACUCGCACGUAUGCAUACAUUGCACGGCUCCUGGUACUACACCACACGGUUUUAGCUGUCCAAUUUCAUAUUCGCACCGGCGGCAUCACAUAUGUAUAGGUAGACACUAUACACAUAUGCAGACAAUUGCAUCAGCACCUUGGUGCAUUCUCGUGUAUAAGGCACGCGGGGUGUGCACGUCUAUUUCAGAACGUGAACUUGAACUUAGACUCGCGUUCGCGGACUCGCGCGAAGGAUGAUCAGGAAAUUGGCAAUUAGAGAUGAGUAAGAAGUUCGAUUUGUUUCGACCACGAGAACGGCGAGGAAAUCAAUUUUAGAGAUUCUUCGGUUUCCUUGUUAUCCUCUGUGUAUUAUGAUUCGGCCAGCCAAAUCGGUUAAUUGAAUCUCUCGAUCGAGCGGAAAAUCGGAAGAUGAUAAUCUGAUCAAUAUCUUUCAACUCUGAUGUCAUAUUAUGUAGGAAAUUCUGAAAGUAUUAUUUUAAUUGUGUGUGAUUCAAGAUUUCUGAAAUAAUUUGAAGUUAAAAAUUUAAUGCAGCUAUAUUUUUAUUAUAAAAUAACUAUUAUAAAAUAGCUAAAUUUUUAGAACAAUAUUAUGUAACAGAUUUAUAAAUUGACAAUUUGUCAACUAUAUUUGUAUAUAUUUUAAAAAUGAUGGUGCCAUUCUUGAUGCUAUUUCUUUAUGGUCCUUAUAAUUAUUUUAGACUUUGUAAAAUUUUUAAACAAUAUUUCUAAUUAAAUUUUGAUGAUAUCUCAUCUGAUUAUUUUAUAACAAUAAUUAUUUAUCAAAUUUUUUUUAUGUUUGUUUAGGAUGCGUCUCUAUUUCAAACAAUCUAAUUAUAACGGAAAUUUUAAUGCGGGAAAGGAUUAAAUACGCGCAUUACGCGUUAGUCGUAUAUGGAGCGGAAGAAUCAUAUAAGGAAACACGCACGUCAUUCCGGUCAGUUAUAAAUAGUUCUUCUCGAUGGUGAAGGUAACUGUUGCUUAUGAUCGAACGGCUUUCUUCUGCAUACCAUGAAAAAUUGCAAAAAGUUCGAAAUAUCUUAACCCUAACUUUCCAUAUAUGGAUAUAAUCUUAUGCAAUUUUUUACAUUGCUGUAACUUUUUUAUAAUAUAAUUUGAAGACUAGGACUGAGGUUCAAAAAAAUCUUUAACCAUCCAGAGUACUCAUUUUUGCGAAUUUUUGCAAAUGUUUUUGCAAAACCUAUAAUUACUUGACAGUACAAUAUUUUUGAAUUAGUUCUCGUUUAUCACCCUCUCUAUCAGACUCUGAGGUACCAAUUUCAUACAUUAUAAGCUAAAAAAUAUGCUCUCUGUUCAGAGAGCAUCAAAAUUAAGCGUAUGAAAGUUAAACAUGUCAAAGUUAAAGAGUUCCAUAAAACCAUAAGUGGAGAGGAAGAUAACGAAAAAUAAGUGUGGAGAGCUAGAAUUAAGACUUCCUAACUGAUAAGAAACACGAAUACUGAAGCUUAAAUACUACAAUAAUGAGUUUGUUAAAUGUUUAUUAAAAUUUAUAUGAUUUCAUUAAUAUAUUAGAUAACACAAAUUACAUCAUAAUUAAUUUAUUAAUUAUAAUGUUCCAAAAUGUUGCAAUAAUUUUCUUGUAUAGACGUUUAGGUUUUAAUUAACGCUUUGCCAAAUUAUUGCCAAAACAAGAUGUAACAACUAAAGAUUAUAAACAUCAUUUUACCUUGCGACGUUGAAAUUAACGGAACUAUUUCUGGAGUAUUGCUAUAACAAUCAAGCAGUCGUAUUUUUCCUAAUCGUGAAAAAGCGUUUCAAUUUCUUUUACGUCAUGAUUUGAUUAAAUUCAUUUCUGAGUGCAACUUCAUUUCCGAUUGUCUAUAAAAGUAACCGGCACGGGAAUAGCACGAAACACAUGCAAAGAUGCGCAGCUCCGAUAGAUCUAUAAGAUAAGACGAUUCGUACUUCGCACAUCUGUGCCGAAUACAAUAGCUUAGAUGUAGAGUAGUGGGUAGAUGUAGAGUAGUAGAUAUGUGCCAGGUGCUACGCAGGUAUAAAAGCCUGAUUCGGGCACGUCGAAGCUAUCAGUACACGUGUAACAAUUAGACGAACAAUUUCCUUUACCCGCGAUCCAUCCGUUACAAGCCAUCUCUUUACAGUCUGUCAAAGAAUAUUUUCAAUAUUUUGAUUUAUAUACAAGAAUAUAUUGACUUUUUUCGUACAUUUCAAAAUUUUAGUAAGUAAUUUAACUGUGUAUUGAUUAAUCUUCUUAAAGAACUUUGUUAUUCAAACGAUUUGAAGCCUCAUAACUAUUUGAUGAAAAAUUAUUAAAAUUUGUGAACUAUUUGAACGUUCAGAAAUCAAAUCUAAAUUUAUAGCAUAACUGACAAUUGUAUAGGCAUAAAAAAAUAUUAGACACUGAUAACUCGAGUGGAAGCUUUUUUUAAAAAAAGGUAACAUCUUGCACGAAUAGAUCACUUUUGGAUUGAAAGUUUUUAAUGGUGAUUAACAAGCAUGACGUGUAAAAUGAUCGAUGCAACAAUUUAAUCUACGAAAUUGUUGUGUUUUCUUUUUGAACCACCCUGUGUAGGGUGCUCGCGCGGCGUGCUAAGCUGAGUCAGCUCCGGGGGUGUUAGUUAGGGUUAUUAUUUCUCGCCGCACGUCUGACGGCAGUCUGUCAGUUAUCGCAAGUCAAUGAAAGUACAAACAGCAUCGUUACCUCCACAGACAUCCGUGGUACUCGAUGUGAUUAGAUUCGAUAUACGUGAAUGCACCACACGUAUAAACGAGUGUCUAAUGAAUAAACGUAAUUUUAUUUUCUUGCAUUAUUAAUUAAAACUAAAGAACGUGUUUAUAAAAUAUACGCAUAUGCAAACUAA